rnacentral:rRNA from 1 species
GUGGGGAAUCUUCCGCAAUGGACGAAAGUCUGACGGAGCAACGCCGCGUGAGUGACGAAGGCCUUCGGGUUGUAAAGCUCUGUUGUCGGGGAAGAACACUUUGCUUGUGAAUAAUGAGGAGUAAUGACGGUACCUAAAUAAGAAGCCACGGCUAACUACGUGCCAGCAGCCGCGGUAAUACGUAGGUGGCAAGCGUUGUCCGGAAUUAUUGGGCGUAAAGCGCGCGCAGGCGGGAUAUCAAGUCUGUCUUAAAAGUGCGAGGCUCAACCUCGUGAGGGGACAGAAACUGGUAUUCUUGAGUGUCGGAGAGGAAAGUGGAAUUCCAAGUGUAGCGGUGAAAUGCGUAGAGAUUUGGAAGAACACCAGUGGCGAAGGCGACUUUCUGGACGAUGUCUGACGCUGAGGCGCGAAAGCUAGGGGAGCGAACGGGAUUAGAAACCCGAGUAGUCC